rnacentral:lncRNA from 1 species
UCCUGUAGGAGAGGAGAGAAGUGAGCAUAGUGAGAGAAAUCUCUUCUCUCGUUUUCUUUUCGGGGACCAAAAAAAAAGAAAAAAGAAAAAUUCCCCCAAAAAGGAUCAGAUCCGAGUGUUUAGAAAAUCGAAAGAGAGAAAUCUCCUCUUUUUCAGCGAAGCUUUUGGUAAUCUAGCAUUCGAAGUGCACAUAAUAUAAGAGCACACUUAAAAUGUUCUAGCUUAAAAGACAUCACUGUUUUUGGACUCGGCCGAGGUGACUCGAAAAAUCCAAAAGAGAGUGAGCUAUGUACUUAAUUACAUUAAAGAAAGGGAGAUGGAGACGAUGAGCAUACAAUUGAGAGAGAGAGAGAGUCUAUUACUUGUAAUCCUCUGGCUUUUCCGGCCACAUGUUCCUUAUUAUCUUGGUCUCCUUGCAGUCUGGCUCCAUGUUCUCCGGUACCUCGAGCUCCUCCAUCGCCGCCAUAUUAUCGUAAACUUCAACCCAAUCCAUGGUAUUCUUGGUGUGGUCAUGAUC